rnacentral:rRNA from 1 species
AUUGAACGCUGGCGGCAGGCCUAACACAUGCAAGUCGAGCGGGGCGACUGACGGGUGAGUAAUUCCUAUGAGUCUGCCUGGUAGUUAGGGGUAACUUCCGGAUACAAGCGCUAAUACCUAAUACUAUCAGAUGAGUCUAGUUCGGAUUAGCUAGUUGGUGGGGUAAAGGCCUACCAAGGCGACGAUCCGUACCUGGUCUGAGUGGAUGAUCAGUCACACUGGAACUGAGACACGGUCCAGACUCCUACGGGAGGCAGCAGUGGGGAAUAUUGGACAAUGGGCGCAAGCCUGAUCCAGCCAUGCCGCGUGUGUGAAGAAGGUCUUCGGAUUGUAAAGCACUUUAAGUUGGGAGGCGUUACCAACAGAAGAAGCACCGGCUAACUCCGUGCCAGCAGCCGCGGUAAUUC